rnacentral:rRNA from 1 species
UACGAAGGGGGCUAGCGUUGCUCGGAAUCACUGGGCGUAAAGCGCACGUAGGCGGCUUUCUAAGUCAGGGGUGAAAUCCUGGAGCUCAACUCCAGAACUGCCUUUGAUACUGGAGAGCUUGAGUCCGGGAGAGGUGAGUGGAACUCCGAGUGUAGAGGUGAAAUUCGUAGAUAUUCGGAAGAACACCAGUGGCGAGGGCGGCUCACUGGCCCGGUACUGACGCUGAUGUGCGAAAGCGUGGGGAGCAAACAGG